rnacentral:lncRNA from 1 species
UUUUUUUUUUUUAUUGCUGGUGGGUCAUUCCAGAUCUGGUUCAUCUCUGCGUUUCCAGUCUGUUUGUACUACGUUUCUUGAUUCCUUCGUCUCAUUCCAAAUCCAUUAUACUAUUUGUUUUUUUGUUCCGGAUCUGAACUAAUCAACCCAUCUAAACUCACACCACCAAGAUCCAUUUGGAAAAAGAAAAAAACAGAACAAGAACUUGAGAGAGAGGUAAAGUUGUAGCAAUAUAAGUUAUGUUUGAUAGAUUGCAUGUUAGAGUGGGAGGUGAAUGAGCAUGAGUGACUAUUGUGUUGUGUGAGGUUUGUUGCUGCUGUGGAAGCUGGUGGUUUGAGUUUUGCAGCUGUGUUUUCCUUCUGUGUAGUGCUGCUUCCUUUUGGGUGUUGUUUGAUAGUUGCUGCUGUGUUGGCUG